rnacentral:rRNA from 1 species
AUGGCGUCCGCCUCCGCCGCCGCCCCAGCCGUCUCCUUCCAGCCCGGCCGGCGCGCCCCGCUGCGGCCCCGCUGCACGCAUUCCGAGCGCGGCGUCUCCUUCGACCCCGGCUCAGCCUUCUACCGCAGCGACAGCGCCCCGGGCCGCGACCUGGCCGUCCUCGCCGCCACCCUCCACCGCCGACGCCGCCCCGACCCCUCCGCCCCUUUCCUCUGCCUCGACGCCAUGUGCGGCUCCGGCGUCCGCGCGCUCCGCUACCUCGCGCAGGCCGGCGCCGACUUCGUCUGGGCCAACGACGCCUCCGACGCGCUCCACCCGGUCAUCGUCGGCAACUUCUCUCGCUUCGAGCCCGUGCCUCCCGAAGGGCAGAGGCGGUGGGUGGUGUCGCACCUUGACGCCACCCGGCUGCUCGCCGAGAGGUACCUCCGCCGCGAGUACUUUGACGUCAUCGACGUGGACUCGUUCGGCAGCGAGGCCGAGUACAUCCGGGCGGCCUUCUUGGCGCUCAAGAUUGGGGGCCUUCUCUACCUCACCUCCACAGAUUGGCGGUCGGCGAGAGGUUAUGGCGGAAAAUGCUCACUGUCUUCAUAUGGAGCAUACAUUCGUCCAGUGCCAUAUCCGAAUGAGAUUGGUUUGCGAAUGCUUUUAGGUGGGGCUGCCCGCGAAGCAGCUAUGCUUGGAUUUCACAUAGAACCAGUAUUCUCUUAUUACGCAUACCACGGUCCAAUUUUUCGAGCAAUGGUACGAUUAUGCCAUGGAAAAGAAGAUGGCAUCAGCAAUUAUGGUUUCAUUUGUCAUUGCAAGAGUUGCGGCCAGUCUCAGACUUUUGGAUUUGACGAAUUGGGGCAGAUUUCUUGCGGAUGUGCAGAUAGAACAGAUGCCACUUCAAUCACAGUUGUAGGCCCACUUUGGACAGGUCCUCUACAUGAUCGCUCUUCCAUUACAGAAAUGCUAAACUUGGCUGUAGAAUGGGGAUGGGCACACACAAGUGAGAAUGGUGUCACUUUGGAAAAACUUCUUGGCACCAUGAUUGAGGAGAGUGACCCAAGGUUACCGCCUGGAUAUAUAAGACUUGAUGAGAUUGCCAGCCGAGCAAAAGUUAACUCUCCACCGCUCGGUACUCUCAUCCAUUCAUUGCAGAAGGAAGGUUAUGCUGCUUGUAGAUCUCAUAUAGGUGCCAACGCCGUCAAGACCAACUGUCCCAUCAGUUCAUGCAUUGUGGUCGCACGGGAGAUCCGAAAUUUGCGUUAA